UGUGCAAAUUUAUGCAAAACUGA
rnacentral:ncRNA from 3 species